rnacentral:rRNA from 1 species
CGGCAGGCUUAACACAUGCAAGUCGAACGCGUGUAGCAAUACACGAGUGGCGCACGGGUGAGUAACGCGUGGAUAUCUGCCUUUUGGUUCGGAAUAACCCCGGGAAACUGGGGCUAAUACCGGAUGGUUCCUUCGGGAUAAAGAUUUAUCGCCAAAAGAUGAGUCCGCGUACGAUUAGCUAGUUGGUGAGGUAAUGGCUCACCAAGGCGACGAUCGUUAGCUGGUCUGAGAGGACGAUCAGCCACACUGGGACUGAGACACGGCCCAGACUCCUACGGGAGGCAGCAGUGGGGAAUAUUGGACAAUGGGGGCAACCCUGAUCCAGCCAUGCCGCGUGAGUGAUGAAGG